rnacentral:lncRNA from 1 species
GUGACAGUACUCUAAGUUCUAACGUUUUGUUUGUUUCAGCGCGGGUACCUGUUGUUGUUGUUGUGAAAGUGACGUAAUAAACGUCAACGUCAAACUACUGUUUACAGUAUACGAAAUAAAACCGUUAAAUUAUUUAAAUUUAACUGUAAUUAUUAAACCAACGUAUUUUUAACAUUUUUGAAAGACAUAACGUCGUAUUUGUUCAAAAAUUAUGAUUGAUAUUUUUACCAAUUAAGGGCCAAAAUAUUGGCCUUGUGGCAUUUUUCAGAUAUUACCGAGGCCAAUAAAUUGGCCCUAUGGCACAGAACUCGUUAAA